GAGAGAGAGAGGGCGUAAGCAAAGUGACUAGCAGUUAUAGAAGAUGAUAGGAAAUCAUUUUGGAAAGAAAGGAAAUUCAUAAAUAAAAAGGGACCGGAGAGUGUGGAAAAUGCAUUUAUAUGAAUGAAUGAAUAUCGAAAAGGCAAAGCCCGCUACUCCUUGUAGUUAUCGUCCAAAAUCAGCUGUGUGGCCAAAUGGAAGCUUGCUUCGCGAAAUGCUCUCAUGGGAACGCAUUGUUUAAAGCUCUGAAACCUCUCAAAUUGAAGCUAUCAAGCUCUUGUUCCAUGCCCAUCCACUCUGCUGGAGCGACAGAGUCUGUUAAAAAAGCAUAUGAUGCGUUAUUGUUGGAUGCUGGUGGAACCCUUUUGCAAUUGACACGGCCUGUUGAAGAAACUUACGCUUCCAUCGGAAGAAAAUAUGGUCUGACUGCAAGUUCUGCUGAUAUAAAGCAAGGAUUUAAAAGAGCUUUCGCUGCUCCAUGGCCUGAAAAACUCCGUUACCAGGGGGAUGGGCGGCCAUUUUGGAAACUUGUUGUUUCUGAAGCCACUGGUUCCACCAACAAUGAUUAUUUUGAAGAAGUCUAUAAGUACUAUGCAAAUGGCGAAGCCUGGUAUCUUCCAGAUGGAGCUUAUGAAGCACUGUACCUUCUCAAAGAUGCUGGAGUUAAGGUGGUCGUCGUGUCUAAUUUCGACACCCGGUUAAGGAAGCUAUUGAAGGACCUAAAUGUUAUCGAACUGUUUGAUUCUCUAAUCAUAUCUUCAGAGGUUGGAUAUGAAAAACCAGAUCCCAAGAUAUUUGAAGCUGCUUUAGGUAUGUCAUAUAAGACCAUUUGGUCUAUUUGUGGUUGUGGGAUGCGCCUUAAAAUUUCUACGUUGAAGCAAGUGUAGAGGCAGGCAAGGCAGUGCAUGUUGGGGACGAUCUAAAGGCAGAUAAGCAGGGGGCCAAUGCCAUUGGGAUUGAUUGCUGGUUAUGGGGAGCAGAUGUGAAGACAUUCUCAGAUAUCAAAAACCGCAUCCUCAUCCAUGACUAAUACUCCAAAGAAUUAGGUGUCGGUGCCCUUUUUUCUUUGUGGUGAUUGGCGGGUGUUUAAAUCUCUUGAUCAAUUUUUGGGUUCUGCUAUACAAUUUAGGAUUUAUCAUGGGAUUGGUUAGAGCUGUGGAUAUCACCUCUCGUAUGAUUGAUGAAAUACUAUAGGAAUGUUGGUUUAAUAUCUUGAUUCUUGUAACAAAACCUUGCCGAGACGAAAUUCCUCUGUCACUCCCAAUUAUUUGAUGUUUAUAUUAUUAGCAUAAAAUCUUAUUGUUCA